UGUGGUGUUAUAAAUCUGUAUACAGAGUAUAACGGGGAAUUCAGGUGAAAUUCCUGAACGGUGCCGCCGCUGUGAUAGGGUUAAAUAUAGCAUUUGCCACUGGUUUUCUGGGAAGGCGUUAUAUUUGUAUGAAACCUUAAGUCAGAAUAUCCGUCUGUAU
rnacentral:ncRNA from 1 species